UGUCCCGCCCCUUCCAAUCAGCAGGGCCUCCUUUCCUAUCCUUUUCUUUAGUAUGGAGGAGAUGAUGACCUCUAAGGCCGAAAAGGCCAAUAGAGGAAACCCACCCAGCUGAACCGAUGACGAGACUUUCCUUCCUCUUCCAGCCAGUAUAUGAGGAAAGAUGUAGCCUGCAGCGCUUCACUCUUUCAGCGGGACAAAAAGCUGCAUGGGGCUCUAUUACUUAGAAGAUAAAUGAGACACUCCAACAACAGGACACAUGAAGGUUCAAGGUCAUCAUUGCUGCAGAGCUGCAGAGCUCCAAGAUUUUUGUAUUAAACCAUGGAUCAAAAGUGCAAGAACGACUCAAACAGGUUUUGAUGUGUGUGCGGUUGUGUAACAAUGACAGACAGACAGUGCACCAUUACUCCCCUAGUGAAAAACUUAUAUCAUGCAUACUUUGGAAUAAAACUUGGAGAUCAAGAUAAAGCUUUUGCACCUCACAUUUGCUGCAAAACAUGUGUAGAAAACCUGCGGCGCUGGAGCAACAAGAAGAGUCAAUGUCUACCAUUCGGCUUUCCUAUGGCGUGGAGGGAAGGGAGAGAUCAUACCACGGACUGUUACUUCUGCAUGACAAACCUUCAAGUUGAGUUAUAAAAAUACAUUCUCAGGUGAAAUGCAGUGUGUUCAUGCAUUCUUAAAGUAUCUAACUUAAUAUGUUGUUAUCUUGACAAUAAAUUUUUCGUUUUCAUUCCAGGCAUAAACAGAAAGAACAAACAUUAUGUUAAGUAUCCAGACGUACGCUCAGCCAUCAAACCAGUCCCUCAUGGACCAGGAAUCCCAAUUCCAACUGCACCAGAAAAUAAUAUGGAUAUGCUACUUGAUGAUGAUGACAUCGAGGAAAAAAAUUUAAAAAACUGACGCAUCUAGUACAUACUUACCCACAGCUUCUGCAAAAGAGCCUAUACCCGUCAGUUAGGCCGAGUUGAAUGAUUUAACAAGAGAUUUGAGCUUGUCUAAAGAAUCAGCUCAACUUCUAGGAUCGCGGCUUCAUGAACACAAUGUCUUAGAACCAGGAACAUUUACCUGGUACCGUACCCGUGAUGAGGAAUUUCGAAAGUUCUUCAGUUCUGACAAGGAAACAAUAUCAGCGAACUUAUUGAAGCUAUGGGGAUAUCAUACACUCCAUCAGAAUGGCGCCUCUUCAUUGACUCAUCAAGCAGAAGCUUGAAAGCAGUCUUGUUGUUCAAUGGAAACGAGGUUGCAUCUGUUCCAGUGGGGUAUUCAGUGCAGAUGGCUAAGAACUAUAACAAUAUGGAGUAUCUGUUAACGCCUCAGAAGUAUAAAGACCACAAUUGGAAGAUCUGUGGAGGUUGUAUCCAUGGUACUGGGCCUACAAGGUGGCUACACCAAGUUUCCAUGUUUCCUCUGUCUGUGGGAUAGUCGAGCAGACAAGCAACACUACAUCGAACGUGACUGGCCUGCAAGAAAUGAACUUGCUCCAGGUUCUCACAGUGUUGUUGCCCAUGCUCUAGUGAAUCCCUAGAACAUACUUCUUCCACCACUGGACAUCAAGCUCGGACUGUUCAAAAACUUUGUAAAGCCACUAGAAAAAAAAAAAAAAAAAAAAAACAGGCUUUAAAUUUUCUAAAUGAGAAAUUUUCAAGUCAGUGAGGCAAAGGUGAAUGCAGAUAUUUUUGAUGGCCCUCAGCUCAGAGAGCUUUUCAAAGACCCCAAAUUUGAUUGCAAAAUGAAUUUAAAUGAGAAGGAAGCCUGACAUGCCUUUAAAUCUAUUACCUCCGAUUUUCUUGGUAACUACAGAAGUCCAGAAUAUGAACGAGUAGUUGAGGAACUACUUAUGGCCUACAAAGUUCUUGGUGCAUGCAUGUCCAUCAAAAUGCACUUCCUCAGCUCCCACCUGGACUAUUUUCCAGAAAAUUGUGGUGAUGUGAGUGAGGAACAAGGAGAACGCUUCCAUCAAGAUAUCCGUGUAAUGGAGGAGCGGUACCAGGGUCGUUGGGAUAUCAACAUGCUCGCCGACUACUGUUGGUGUCUGAAACGGGAUGCCCCAGCCACCAAACACCGGAGAAAAUCUCUGCGACAGCCUUUUAUACAUGUGUAGCUGUAAAGUUAAAUAUGUAGUAGACAUAUUUGGGAUUUAUGUAUUGUGGAUAAAUUUAUUUUAAUGUAUUUUCUAAAAAAAUAUUGACAUAAAAUAUCAGA